CCAGAAAGACCAGCUGGUUGUACAGUACAAACAGUACACUUUAAAAAUUCAAUUGAAUCGUGAUAUCAAAAAACCAAAACGCCAAAUGCUAUGCCCAUCACACACAUACACACACGAUAGUCCUUUUUCAGGCGUUUCAACACAGGUGCUAUUUAUCUAUCCGUAUACCUUCCCUCCGAAAGAAAAAUGACAAUACACUGACAGAGUGGAAAUAAAAUAAAUUCACGAGCUUUUAUCCGCCUUCUUCUCCGCCUUCUUCUCCGCCUCUCUCCAUUCUUGCUUUAUUUCUUCAGAGCCACCAGCCUUAAGUGGGCUCUUUUCGGCUGCCCACAGCUCGAGCAGGUAUUCAGAUCCAGGUGGUCUUUCAAAGCCUUUCCAGCCAUCUGCCUGUGUCUCUUCUUCAUAUGCGAGGUCUUCUUCUUGGGUACGGCGCGCAGGACGGAAUCCCAGAUAUCGGAGAGGAGGGAGGGGAUUUCGAUGACGAUGACAGCGGGAGCGGCUGCAGCUGCGGCGACAGUCAAAAGGGAGUUCGGUGCAUGGUUAUAUCGCAGCAAUUGGCUUGCUCUAUGAGGGAAUUGAAGGGAGAGUCGGGGAAAGAGGCGGGAGAGCAUGGAGGCGGAGGAGAAAGCUAGGGACGACAUGGUGCGGAGGUGGUGGUGGUUGGGUGUGUAUGGCCAAAUUGGCCGGUGAGGGGGGUCCGGCAGAGGGGUGGUAUAUAGAGUCCGC
rnacentral:sRNA from 1 species